GGCUACCUUGUUACUACUUAACCCCCCUUGCCAUGGACAGAUUCGAAUACCCCAAAAAGGAUAUCCUCGUCCACCCACGACUCGGAUGGUUUGACGGGCGGUGUGUGCAAGGAGCAGUGGCGCAUUCACCGCGAGAUGUUGAUUCGCGAUUACUACGGAUUCCAGCUUCAUGAGGGUGAGUUGCAACCCUCAAUCCGAACUAUGGAGCAGGUUUCGAGUUUACCGCCUCCUUUCGGAGUUGAAGACCCAUUGUCCUGUCCUUUGUAGCGCGCGUGUGGCCCAUGGGGAUUCAGGGCAUACUGACCUACCGUCGCCCUCCCCUUCCUCUGACUUUGCGCCAGCGGUCCCAUUAAUGUGCCUGCUAUCCGGGGAUAACAGUAGCAACUAACAGCGAGGGUCUCGUUCGUUAUCUGACUUAACAGAACGCUUUACAGUACGAACUGACGACGGCCAUGCACCACCUCUCUACCUUUUAAUCGAGUAAGGUCUUCAGCCUGACUCUCAUGCGGCAGUCUCCCCUGGUGAGUUUUCCGGCGUUGAAUCCAAUUAAACCGCACGCUCCACCCGUUGCGGUGCUCCCCCGCCAAUUCCUUUAAGUUUCAAUCUUGCGAUCGUACUCCCCAGGCAGUAGGUUUAACAACUUCUCUACGGCACUGGAUGCCCUCGUAAGACAUCCAACACCAAACCCACAGCGUUUACGCCCUGGACUACCGGGGUAUCUAAUCCCGUUUGCGCCCCAGGGUUUCGUUCCUUACCGUCGGAGUCGUUCUAGGUGGACGCCUUCGCCACCGGUGGUCCUUCAGGGAUUAAAGGAUUUCACCCCUCCCCCUGAAGUACCUCCACCCUCACCCGAUCCCAAGUUCAGCAGUCUCCCCGGAAGUCGGCUAGUUAAGCUAGUCGAUUUACCCAAAGAUUUACUGAACCGGCUACGAACGUUUUAGGCCCAAUAAUAACGAUCACCACUUGGGCUGCGGGUAUUACCGCGGCGGCUGGCACCCGUCUUACCCAGCCCUUAUUCUUCAUACUUUUUAGGUAUGAAAAAAGCCAACACUACGUGCUGGCACUUGGAGUUCCCUCGUCGUGGUUGCCCACAUUGCGAAGUUUUCGCGCCUGCUGCGCCCCGUAGGGCCUGGAUUCAUGUCUCAGAAUCCACCUCCGGGCUAUCGCUCUCACGACCCGUACCCGUCGUCGGCUAGUGGGUCCGUUACACCCACUACAACCUGAUAGGCCGCAGACUCACCCUUAGGCGCCGGAGCUUUCAGUCAAAAAGCGUUCCAGCAAUAAUGACCUAUGGGGAAUUACCCUCAAUUUCUCGAGGCUAUGCCCCACCUAAGGACAGAUUAUCCACGUGUUACUGAGCAUUGCGCCGGUGACCGAAGUCCCCUUGACUCGCAUGGCUUAAUCGAACACCAAUAGCAGUGACCUCCGGCAGGAUCAACCGGA
rnacentral:rRNA from 1 species